GCCUUUAGUUUAUUCAUUUAUUUAUAUGUGGUGCGGAGAAUUGAACCCAGUGCCUCGCCCUUGCUAGGCAAGUGCUCUGCCACUGAGCCACAGCCCCCCAGACUGAGCAAUUUAAAGAGACCAUAAGCAGUUUAACAAAACUCAAAGUAAAAAGGGCUAGGGAUGCCACUCAGUGGUUAAAUGCCCCUAGGUUAAGUCCUCAGUACCAAAAAUAAAAAAUUAAACACACACACACACGGUAUACAGGCAGGUGUGGUAGCACAUGUCUAUAAUCCCAGCAUUCAGGAGGCUGAGGUAGGAGGAUUGCAAAUUCAAGGCCAGCCUGGACAACAUAGCAAGACCCUGUCUUAAAGUUAAAAAAAAAAAAAAAGUACUUUGAGGGAGGGGGAAUGUAAAACAAAAUUUCAGGGAUAUGUUUUGUAAAAAAAUAAAGAAGGACAAAGAACAUAAAGAUCAUUUUCUCCAUACAUAGUGGUUGCACCAACUUAGUUUAUUGAAAUUUGCUUAGUUUACUGAAAUUUAGCAAUAAAUUUCAACUUAGUUUACUGAAAUUUGCUUAGUUUACUGAAGUUUACUGAGCACAGUUGUAUUUGAAACAGAGGUCAUAAAAUAUGGUAUUGGCUAGCUAGUAAGAUUCCUUUGAAAAUAAAGACUUAAUCAUUUAAAAUAGGCAUAAAAUUGAUCUAGGAGAUAGUUGGUGAUAAGUCUGACCCACAAUUUCACAUUAAAUCGAGUAUCACAGAAAGUUGAUUACACAGACCUUUGAGCUCUCUGCACUUCAUAAUAACACAGUACACACUAUAGGAGGUUGUUAGCAGCAGUAUGAAGAUUGAAAUUCCUAAUUACAACCAGAACACUUUGGUCAGGUCUAACUCUAUUACCUAAUCUUGGUUGUCAUUUAAUCCACUUGUGGGUGUUUUAAUGUGAAAAUGGAUAAAAUAAUUUGUGUCUACC
rnacentral:lncRNA from 1 species